UACGUAGGGCGCAAGCGUUGUCCGGAAUUAUUGGGCGUAAAGGGCUCGUAGGCGGUCCGUCGCGUCGGGAGUGAAAACUCGGAGCUUAACUCCGAGCCUGCUUCCGAUACGGGCAGACUAGAGGUAGGCAGGGGAGACUGGAAUUCCUGGUGUAGCGGUGAAAUGCGCAGAUAUCAGGAGGAACACCGGUGGCGAAGGCGGCUCACUGGACCUGUACUGACGCUCAUGCACGAAAGCGUGGGGAGCAAACAGG
rnacentral:rRNA from 1 species